CCUACGGGAGGCAGCAGUGAGGAAUAUUGGUCAAUGGGCGAGAGCCUGAACCAGCCAAGUCGCGUGAGGGAGUACUGCCCUAUGGGUUGUAAACCUCUUUUGUCGGGGAGCAAAAGCCGGACGUGUCCGGCUGUGAGAGUACCCGAAGAAAAAGCAUCGGCUAACUCCGUGUCAGCAGCCGCGGUAAUACGGAGGAUGCGAGCGUUAUCCGGAUUUAUUGGGGUUAAAGGGUGCGCAGGCGGAUUGUUAAGUCAGCGGUCAAAUCGUGGGGCUCAACCCCAUCCAGCCGUUGAAACUGGGGAUCUAGAGUGUGCGAGAGGUAUGCGGAAUGCGUGGUGUAGCGGUGAAAUGCAUAGAUAUCACGCAGAACCCCGAUUGCGAAGGCAGCAUACCGGUGCACAACUGACGCUCAGGCACGAAAGCGUGGGUAUCGAACAGGAUUAGAUACCCUUGUAGUC
rnacentral:rRNA from 1 species